UCAGAAUGACCAUAUAUAUUUCGACGUAUUUGGUUCGUGAUUGGAAUCGAAAUAAAAUUUGAAUAUCAGAUAAAAGUAAAAGUUGAAUCUUGGAGGAUUGGAUCAUUACCAUUUCUUUAUGGAAUCAAAAUGAAAAUGGAACGCCUCUUAAUCAAACGCCUAGAAUGGGAAUCACUCGCACCCAUUUCCAUUCUAGAGUCUAACUGUUCACAACCAAAUAUGUUCUUAGUAUUUUGGAUUGCAUAAAAUGCUAGUUUUGGCCAUUAGCAGGAUGCUAUUUGCAAGAAUUAAUACUCGACGUAUCUAAAUAUAUUAAAAAAAUAAAAAAUUUGCAUGCAUUAAGCCAGCUGCUUUUGCCCCUCUUUCACUGGGAAAAGAUUGGGGAUCCAAAUCCAGAUUGGGGGCCA
rnacentral:lncRNA from 1 species